rnacentral:rRNA from 1 species
AUUAUGGAGAGUUUGAUCCUGGCUCAGGACGAACGCUGGCGGCGUGCCUAAUACAUGCAAGUCGAGCGGAUGAUG